rnacentral:rRNA from 1 species
GAUGAACGCUGGCGGCGUGCCUAAUACAUGCAAGUCGAGCGAACAGACGAGGAGCUUGCUCCUCUGACGUUAGCGGCGGACGGGUGAGUAACACGUGGAUAACCUACCUAUAAGACUGGGAUAACUUCGGGAAACCGGAGCUAAUACCGGAUAAUAUAUUGAACCGCAUGGUUCAAUAGUGAAAGACGGUUUUGCUGUCACUUAUAGAUGGAUCCGCGCCGCAUUAGCUAGUUGGUAAGGUAACGGCUUACCAAGGCAACGAUGCGUAGCCGACCUGAGAGGGUGAUCGGCCACACUGGAACUGAGACACGGUCCAGCCUCCUACGGGAGGCAGCAGUAGGGAAUCUUCCGCAAUGGGCGAAAGCCUGACGGAGCAACGCCGCGUGAGUGAUGAAGGUCUUCGGAUCGUAAAACUCUGUUAUUAGGGAAGAACAAAUGUGUAAGUAACGAUGCACGUCUUGACGGUACCUAAUCAGAAAGCCACGGCUAACUACGU